rnacentral:rRNA from 1 species
UACGAAGGGGGCUAGCGUUGCUCGGAAUUACUGGGCGUAAAGGGCGCGUAGGCGGUUCUAUAAGUCAGGGGUGAAAUCCUGGAGCUCAACUCCAGAACUGCCUUUGAUACUGAGGAUCUUGAGUUCGGGAGAGGUGAGUGGAACUGCGAGUGUAGAGGUGAAAUUCGUAGAUAUUCGCAAGAACACCAGUGGCGAAGGCGGCUCACUGGCCCGAUACUGACGCUGAGGCACGAAAGCGUGGGGAGCAAACAGG